ensembl:lncRNA
CUGUUGGGCCAGGAAGACACCCAACCAGCUGCAUCAUGUUGUUCUGUUGGGCCAGGAAGACACCCAACCAGCUGCAUCAUGUUGUUCUGUUGGACCAGGAAGACACCCAACCAGCUGCAUCAUGUUGUUCUGUUGGGCCAGGAAGACACCCAACCAGCUGCAUCAUGUUGUUCUGUUGGGCCAGGAAGACACCCAACCAGCUGCAUCAUGUUGUUCUGUUGGGCCAGGAAGACACCCAACCAGCUGCAUCAUGUUGUUCAGCUGGGCCAGGAAGACACCCAACCAGCUGCAUCAUGUUGUUCUGUUGGGCCAGGAAGACACCCAACCAGCUGCAUCAUGCUGUUCUGUUGGGCCAGGAAGACACCCAACCAGCUGCAUCAUGUUGUUCUGUUGGGCCAGGAAGACACCCAACCAGCUGCAUCAUGUUGUUCUGUUGGGCCAGGAAGACACCCAACCAGCUGCAUCAUGUUGUUCUGUUGGGCCAGGAAGACACCCAACCAGCUGCAUCAUGUUGUUCCGUUGGGCCAGGAAGACCCCCAACCAGCUGCAUCAUGUUGUUCUGUUGGACCAGGAAGACACCCAACCAGCUGCAUCAUGUUGUUCUGUUGGGCCAGGAAGACACCCAACCAGCUGCAUCAUGUUGUUCCGUUGGGCCAGGAAGACACCCAACCAGCUGCAUCAUGUUGUCCUGAUGGACCAGGAAAAUGAAACCGUCAUAUGCUGGCCUUUCUCUCUUCAGCCUGUGAUAUAGAUAUGAAUGAGAUCUGUGGGGGGUGAGGCUUUAUAUGCUAUCACUAUGUCCUUGUCGCCCCCCCCCCCCUUAUCCGUGGCAGCAGCAGUAGUUUGAUUCAUGGUUCGUGGUAUCUGUUCUCCAGGAACAACCAAGCCCAGCUGUUCCAACAGUCACUGUGGAGCAGGGGGCUAAAUGUAAUUAGCCAAUGGAUGGGAGAGUGGGAAAAGGGGGUUUGGCUGUGUGUUUGUUUGUGUGUUUGUGUUUGUGUUUGUGUGUGUGAUGCUCCAAUAUGGCAGUGUGAUAUCUCACCAUGUACAAACCCCCUGGUCGAAUGUCAUCCUCUCAGAAUAAUGCAAUUAAAGUGGGUGGAGGACAGCCCCACACACACACGCACGCACGUCACACACACACACACGUGUGUGUGAUACAUGUGUGUGUGGAUACAUGUGGCCGUCCUCUGACUUGGGACCCUAGGGAGAUAGCUUUUGAUUAGAAAGUGAAAGAGAGACGGAAAGAGAGAGAGCACCCAGUCCUCACUACCCAUCCAGCAUCACAUACAUACUCAUCCCAUCAGCCUGGUCAGUGAUAGGCUCAGAGAAUAGCAUGUCAAGGUAAUCCAUACCACCAUUAAAGGACCUCCGUUAGGUCUGACUCCUACCUUUAUUACAACCCAGCCUGACCCAAAGUUAUUACUCUCUGUUCACAUCCCCUAUGUUAUUACCUCCACCUCCCAGCCUCCAGUCUCACAGAUCAGGAAGGGAGGUUUUCAUCUAAAAGAUUGAGAAAGGGCUGAAAACCCUGUUCUUUUCUUUAAUCACACAAGGCCUAGCGCACCAUGUGCUUCAUCAGCCGCUCUGAUACCUUUCCAUUUCUAACCAGAGGAAAUAGCUUGUGAAGGAGGCAGGCAGCCAAUCAGGCAGUCCUACUGUGGGAGUUUAAUGAGAUCAUCGCCAUGGUCAGAUAUGAAUUAAAAUGGACUCAUUAAGCGUUACGUCCCUGAGACAGCGGCCUGAUGAUAAUAUUCACUAGAGUGGUAUGACUGUUUCCGGACUAAAGCAAUCAGUUAGCCCUAGGAAGUGCUGUGGUUGUCAUCCCCUCUGAUCCAGCUGUCAGUCUAUGACUCCAAUCUCCAAUACUCAAUUACCAGGGUCUUGUUUAUUCCACAAAAACGUUCUGAAACGGGAAGGUAUUACCUGAACACAUCUUUUCAUUGUCUGUUGCUAUAUUUUUCCUACUGUGUGCCUUAUGGAACAUUGAACAUAACCCUGCUCAACUGUAUAACAGCCUACUGCCGUUGUCACAUCACACAAAACUGGAUACAGAACAAAAACAUUGUCUGACACACACGCGCACAUACACGCACACACACAAGGCCAGUGUGUUGGAGUGGAGAACAUCAUGUGAGUGUUGUGCUACUAUGAAUUACCAUACGUCAGAAGGAGCUCAUGCAACACACACACACCCCUCUGCCCUGCACACUAACAUUCACAAACACACACCCCUCUGUCCUGCACACUAACCUUCACACACACACACACACAACCUCUGUCCUGCCUACAUAAGAGGGUGGCCUUACUACACUGAACUGAAACUCACCCUAAAACAUGUGCUUUUUUUAUGUGUGUGUGUGUGUGUGUGUGUGUGUGUGUGUGUUUACGUAAGCGGGUGUGUCAGCCCCACAGAGGAAAACUGGUUUCUACAUCCGACCUCCCUCUAACUUUGUGUUGCACAACAAACACACACAUUGUGUUUACUGCACAUGUCAAUGAUACUAGCCGACUCGUGAACAAGGAAGUAAGUGUUACUGUACUGCUUGUGCUGUACCCUGGUAAACUGCCUGCAUGCUUGGAAGCACAGGGCACAUGUCAACAUCAACAUGACAGCUAACAUACCCCACCUCCCCCCCAGAUAGAACAGAUGAGUUUGAAGGUGGAUGUGAUAUUGUGUUUUUAUGUAAACAGAAUUAUUAAGGCCUAGGUGCCAGGGGAAAAGGCCUAGAUGCCAGGGAAAAGGCCUAGAUGCCAGGGAAAAAGGCCUAGAUGCCAGGGGAAAAGGCCUAGAUGCCAGGGGAAAAGGCCUAGAUGCCAGGGGAAAAGGCCUAGAUGCCAGGGGAAAAGGUCUAGAUGCCAGGGGAAAGGCCUAGAUGCCAGGGGAAAAAGGCCUAGAUGCCAGGGGAAAAGGCCUAGAUGCCAGGGGAAAAGGCCUAGGUGCCAGGGGAAAAGGCCUAGAUGCCAGGGGAAAGGCCUAGAUGCCAGGGGAAAAGGCCUAGAUGCCAGGGAUAAAGUGAAGAGGCAUUGCACCACUAUUGUACUCCCUCCACUGCAAAUUAUGCUUUUCCAAAUAUGUGUAUGGAUUAAAUACAAAGUUUAUUGUUUCCUAAUUUAUUUAUUGCCUUUUGCUGACAUGUACAGCCUGUCAAAGCAGCUAGCAAGGAUUUUAGAUGGAGCAAUACUGCCACCUACCAGUUGCUCCAUUCAUCAUCAGCUGAAGACACAACCAUUAUGUGGACUGGUCAGCAUACGCUGGUUUGUCUUGGAAAUCAUUUGUCUAUUUCACUAUCAUGCAAUUAUUU